rnacentral:rRNA from 1 species
GAUGAACGCUGGCGGCGUGCCUAACACAUGCAAGUCGAACGGGGGUUAUUUUGGGAAAGUCCUUCGGGACGUGGAAUCUAUAACCUAGUGGCGGACGGGUGAGUAACGCGUGAGCAAUCUGCCUUUAGGGGGGGGAGUAACAGUCGGAAACGGCUGCUAAUACCGCAUAAGACCACAGCACCGCAUGGUGCAGGGGUAAAAACUCCGGUGGUAUGAGAUGGACCCGCGUCUGAUUAGCUAGUUGGUAAGGUAACGGCUUACCAAGCCGACGAUCAGUAGCCGACCUGAGAGGGUGACCGGCCACAUUGGGACUGAGACACGGCCCAA